rnacentral:rRNA from 1 species
ACGAUGAAGAGUUUGAUCCUGGCUCAGGAUGAACGCUAGCGGCAGGCUUAACACAUGCAAGUCGAGGGGUAACAGAUGCUUGCACAGAUGACGACCGGCGCACGGGUGCGUAACGCGUAUGCAAUCUACCUUUUACAGGGGAAUAGCCCAGAGAAAUUUGGAUUAAUGCCUCAUAGUAUAUAGUUGUGGCAUCACAAUUAUAUUAAAGAUUUAUCGGUAAAAGAUGAGCAUGCGUUCUAUUAGUUAGUUGGUAAGGUAACGGCUUACCAAGACUACGAUAGAUAGGGGCCCUGAGAGGGGGAUCCCCCACACUGGUACUGAGACACGGACCAGACUCCUACGGGAGGCAGCAGUGAGGAAUAUUGGACAAUGGGCGAGAGCCUGAUCCAGCCAUGCCGCGUGCAGGAAGACUGCCCUAUGGGUUGUAAACUGCUUUUAUACAGGAAGAAACACUGCUACGUGUAGCAGCUUGACGGUACUGUAAGAAUAAGGAUCGGCUAACUCCGUGCCAGCAGCCGCGGUAAUACGGAGGAUCCAAGCGUUAUCCGGAAUCAUUGGGUUUAAAGGGUCCGUAGGUGGACAAUUAAGUCAGAGGUGAAAUCUUGCAGCUCAACUGUAAAAUUGCCUUUGAUACUGGUUGUCUUGAGUUAUUAUGAAGUAGUUAGAAUAUGUAGUGUAGCGGUGAAAUGCAUAGAUAUUACAUAGAAUACCAAUUGCGAAGGCAGAUUACUAAUAAUCAACUGACACUGAUGGACGAAAGCGUGGGUAGCGAACAGGAUUAGAUACCCUGGUAGUCCACGCCGUAAACGAUGGUUACUAGCUGUUCGGACUUCGGUCUGAGUGGCUAAGCGAAAGUGAUAAGUAACCCACCUGGGGAGUACGUUCGCAAGAAUGAAACUCAAAGGAAUUGACGGGGGCCCGCACAAGCGGUGGAGCAUGUGGUUUAAUUCGAUGAUACGCGAGGAACCUUACCAGGGCUUAAAUGUAGAUUGACAGGACUAGAGAUAGUUUUUUCUUCGGACAAUUUACAAGGUGCUGCAUGGUUGUCGUCAGCUCGUGCCGUGAGGUGUCAGGUUAAGUCCUAUAACGAGCGCAACCCCUGUUGUUAGUUGCCAGCGAGUCAAGUCGGGAACUCUAACAAGACUGCCAGUGCAAACUGUGAGGAAGGUGGGGAUGACGUCAAAUCAUCACGGCCCUUACGUCCUGGGCUACACACGUGCUACAAUGGUAGGGACAGAGAGCAGCCACUGGGUGACCAGGAGCGAAUCUAUAAACCCUAUCACAGUUCGGAUCGGAGUCUGCAACUCGACUCCGUGAAGCUGGAAUCGCUAGUAAUCGCAUAUCAGCCAUGAUGCGGUGAAUACGUUCCCGGGCCUUGUACACACCGCCCGUCAAGCCAUGGAAGUUGGAAGUGCCUGAAGUCCGUCACCGCAAGGAGCGGCCUAGGGUAAAGUCGAUAACUAGGGCUAAGUCGUAACAAGGUAGCCGUACCGGAAGGUGCGGCUGGAACACCUCCUUUCU